UGACCCUGAAGUGUUCUUCAAUAUUCUUCUACCGCCUAUCAUCUUCCAUGCUGGCUACAGCUUAAAAAGGAGACAUUUUUUUCGGAACAUGGGAUCCAUCCUGGCUUACGCCUUUCUCGGGACAGUCAUUUCCUGUUUUAUUAUUGGGUUGCUGAUGUAUGGCUGUGUGACGCUAAUGAAGCAGGUGGGCCAGCUGAAUGGAGACUUUUUCUUCACUGAUUGCCUGUUUUUUGGGGCCAUUGUCUCUGCCACAG